rnacentral:rRNA from 1 species
AACGUAGGAGACGAGCGUUAUCCGGAUUUACUGGGCGUAAAGCGCGUGCAGGCGGUUUAUUAAGUCACUUGUGAAAGCGCCCGGCUCAACUGGGCGAGGCCGUGUGAGACUGAUAGACUUGAGAGAGGUGGAGGCGAAUGGAAUUCCGGGUGGAGUGGUGAAAUGCGUAGAGAUCCGGAGGAACACCAGUGGCGAAGGCGAUUCGCUGGGCCUUCUCUGACGCUC